rnacentral:tRNA from 1 species
AAAUAAGAAGCAAAAUGCAAUUAGUUUCGACCUAAAAGAAAGAUAAUAAAUUAUCCUUAUUUA